CACGUAGGGGCCAAGCGUUGUCCGGAUUUAUUGGGCGUAAAGAGCUCGUAGGCGGUUGGGUAAGUCGGGUGUGAAAACUCUGGGCUCAACUCAGAGACGCCACCCGAUACUGCUCUGACUUGAGUCCGGUAGGGGAGUGGGGAAUUCCUGGUGUAGCGGUGAAAUGCGCAGAUAUCAGGAGGAACACCGGUGGCGAAGGCGCCACUCUGGGCCGGAACUGACGCUGAGGAGCGAAAGCGUGGGGAGCGAACAGG
rnacentral:rRNA from 1 species